rfam:Triticum urartu cultivar G1812 contig1059145, whole genome shotgun sequence.
CUUAUACUCCCUCCAUCCAGAAAUACUUGUCGGAUGAAUGGAUGUAUCUAGACGUAUUUUAGUUCUAGAUACAUCCAUUUUUAUACAUUUCUCCGACAAGUAUUUCCGGACGGAGGGAGUAUAUG